GAUGAACGCUGACGGCGUGCCUAAUACAUGCGAGUCGAGCGAACGGACGAGAAGCUUGCUUCUCUGAUGUUAGCGGCGGACGGGUGAGUAACACGUGGAUAACCUACCUAUAAGACUGGGAUAACUUCGGGAAACCGGAGCUAAUACCGGAUAAUAUUUUGAACCGCAUGGUUCAAAAGUGAAAGACGGUCUUGCUGUCACUUAUAGAUGGAUCCGCGCUGCAUUAGCUAGUUGGUAAGGUAACGGCUUACCAAGGCAACGAUGCAUAGCCGACCUGAGAGGGUGAUCGGCCACACUGGAACUGAGACACGGUCCAGACUCCUACGGGAGGCAGCAGUAGGGAAUCUGCCGCAAUGGGCGAAAGCCUGACGGAGCAACGCCGCGUGAGUGAUGAAGGUCUUCGGAUCGUAAAACUCUGUUAUUAGGGAAGAACAUAUGUGUAAGUAACUGUGCACAUCUUGACGGUACCGAAUCAGAAAGCCACGGCUAACUACGUG
rnacentral:rRNA from 1 species